CGGGGUGUGGCGCAGCUUGGUAGCGCACCUGCUUUGGGAGCAGGGGGCCGCAGGUUCAAAUCCUGUCACCCCGA
rfam:Blastococcus saxobsidens DD2 complete genome